UACGAAGGGGGCUAGCGUUGCUCGGAAUGACUGGGCGUAAAGGGCGCGUAGGCGGAUGGCACAGUCAGAUGUGAAAUUCCCGGGCUUAACCUGGGGGCUGCAUUUGAUACGUGUUGUCCAGAGUGAGGAAGAGGGUUGUGGAAUUCCCAGUGUAGAGGUGAAAUUCGUAGAUAUUGGGAAGAACACCGGUGGCGAAGGCGGCAACCUGGUCCUUGACUGACGCUGAGGCGCGAAAGCGUGGGGAGCAAACAGG
rnacentral:rRNA from 1 species